GAUGAAGAACGUAGCGAAAUGCGAUACGUAAUGUGAAUUGCAGAAUUCAGUGAAUCAUCGAAUCUUUGAACGCAUAUUGCGCUCUCUGGUAUUCCGGAGAGCAUGCUUGUUUGAGUAUCAGUAAACACCUCAACUCCCUUUUCUUUUUUGAAAUUGGAGCUGGACUUGAGUGAUCCCAACGCUUUCUUCCAAGAAAGUGGCGGGUUGCUUGAAAUGCAGGUGCAGCUGAACUUUUCUCUGAGCUAUAAGCAUAUCUAUUUAGUCUGCCUAAAAAACAGAUUAUUACCUUUGCUGCAGCUAACAUAAAGGAGACUAGUUCUUGUGCUGACUGAUGCAGGAUUCACAGAGACAGCUUCGGCUGACUUUGUAAACUCGAUCUCAAAUCAAGUAAGACUACCCGCUGAACGUAAGCAUAUCAAUAAGCGGAGGA
rnacentral:misc_RNA from 1 species